rnacentral:rRNA from 1 species
AAGAACGCAGCGAAAUGCGAUACGUAGUGUGAAUUGCAGAAUUCCGCGAAUCAUCGAGUCUUUGAACGCAAGUUGCGCCCGAGGCUUGUCCAAGGGCAUUUCCGCUAGAGCGUCACCGCGCCCCCCACCGAUCCACUCUCGCCGCGAGGCUUUAGUCGGGUCGAGUGAAAGUGGCCGUCCCGGUUGACGAAGUGGCCUUCGCCACGCUCGGAAGCUGGGUCGGCUGAAAUGGAUGGAAUUGGGCCGCCGUGGUGACACAGUCCGCGAUCGGGUGAUUUCGUCGCGAGCCUCCUCCGGGAGGUUCUCGGUGAAUUUUUCUAAGUGCUUGGCUGCGUCCCCCAGUUGGCUUUGGUUACCUCAUGCAGGUCGAGCGCGCCCCCGCGGCGCGCGUCACGCAUCAGACCUCUAAUCGGAAAAGACUACCCGCUGAGUUUAAGCAUAUCAAUAA